CUUUUUUUUUUUUUUUUAUUAAGGGUGUGCAAUCGCAAACAGAGCCACGUCCAAAAGAAGAAAAAAUCGAUCAGGACUGGAUCGAUUUUUUCAGGAUCCCAUAAAGGACUCCAUGAAUGGUUAAUGUUUAUUUACAGGUUUGCACAAGGAUUGAGAUUACGUCAGAUUGACAUGAUGGAAGACGGAGUGGCAUCCAGUUCAGCAACACUCUCAAAAAUGACCAAAAAGCUCAGAAAGGUAGAAUCUAUAUGCUUGAAACAAUAAAAGCUGAUGUAAUAGUUCGCUUUUUGUGGUUACUAAUGGUGGUUUUUAAUUAAAAGGUGUGCACAACUGCAUUGAGAAUGAAAAUGAAAAGAAAGCAUCAAUUCAAAAUUGGAGGGCACUCAAGACAUCGUUUUGUUGUAAUUGAUGAGUCCAAAUUCAGUCAUAAAAGAAAGUAUAACCGUGGACGGUAUGGUGGUACCUGGGCAAGACAUGGAUGGGUGUUCGGUCUGUUAGAAGUACACCACUGUAGCCGAAGGCCUAUUCUUAAGAUGGUCCCUUCACGAGCACGCAGAACUCUGCUUCCAAUCAUUAAGCGGCAUGUGCGCAGAGGUUCAACAAUUUAUAGUGAUUCCUGGCGGGCAUAUGUACAGUCCCUCACUACACAAGGCUAUCACCACUAUCCAGUAAACCACAAAAACAACUUUGUGGAUCCACAGACUGGUAGCCACACUCAACACAUUGAGAGAUACUGGCAAACAAUUAAAGGACAAGUGUGGAGAUUAAGGGGGAACCGUACUGAGAAAAUGCUGAAGAGUCACUUAAAGUUUAUUGAAUGGACAUAUUGGCUAGGAAAGAAAAACAAGAAAGGCAUCUUUGGAAGGCUAAUUCAGGACAUAAGUCAAAAGUACAGAGUGUGAAUGGACUGUGACCUCAGUGGACUUUCAAGAAUACACUUUAGAGAGUAUAAUAUACUAUAGAUUUAAUUAAUAAAAUAUGUAUUAUCAAUUACCAUUAAAGUUUGUGAAACAGUCAAUUUUAGCAGAUGGUUAUAUGUUGUAUUUGAUGUAAAGGUCUAUAAUUUUUGAGUUUUUGAGGGUAAAAAUAAAUAUAUUUACAUUUUGACUUUUCAA